CAGCAGCCGCGGUAAUUCGUAGGGUGCGAGCGUUGUCCGGAAUUAUUGGGCGUAAAGAGCUCGUAGGCGGUGUGUCGCGUCGGUCGUGAAAACUUGGGGCUUAACCCUGAGCUUGCGGUCGAUACGGGCAUCACUGGAGUUCGGCAGGGGAGACUGGAAUUCCUGGUGUAGCGGUGAAAUGCGCAGAUAUCAGGAGGAACACCGGUGGCGAAGGCGGGUCUCUGGGCCGAUACUGACGCUGAGGAGCGAAAGCGUGGGGAGCGAACAGGAUUAGAUACCCUGGUAGUCCACGCCGUAAACGGUGGGCGCUAGGUGUGGGGGCCAUUCCACGGUCUCUGUGCCGCAGCUAACGCAUUAAGCGCCCCGCCUGGGGAGUACGGCCGCAAGGCUAAAACUCAAAGGAAUUGACGG
rnacentral:rRNA from 1 species